rnacentral:sRNA from 1 species
UUCACCAACCAGAUGAGCAUCGGGCGCGGGAAGCUGCCAGCCGAGGAGUUCAAGGCCAAGGUGGAGGCUGUGGUGGAGAAGCUGGGGGUCCCCUUCCAGGUGCUGGUGGCCACGCACGCAGGCUUGUACCGGAAGCCGGUGACGGGCAUGUGGGACCAUCUGCAGGAGCAGGCCAACGACGGCGCGCCCAUAUCCAUCGGGGACAGCAUCUUUGUGGGAGACGCAGCCGGACGCCCGGCCAACUGGGCCCCGGGGCGGAAGAAGAAAGACUUCUCCUGCGCCGAUCGCCUGGUGAGGCCCCUGCCCCCUGCCCCGCGCCCGAGCCCGAGCCUGGCCUGUGUCUGAUGUUCGUCCUCAACCCCUAGUUUGCCCUCAACCUUGGCCUGCCCUUCGCCACCCCUGAGGAGUUCUUUCUGAAGUGGCCAGCAGCAGGCUUCGAGCUCCCAGCCUUUGAUCCGAGGACUGUCUCCCGCUCAGGGCCUCUCUGCCUCCCCGAGUCCAGGGCCCUCCUGAGCGCUAGCCCGGAGGUGGUUGUCGCAGUGGGAUUCCCUGGGGGUAAGUGUCCUGUCCCUGUGCCCUGAGCCCCGCCUGGGUCCUAGGCCACCCACCGACACUGCUCCCCACACAGCCGGGAAGUCCACCUUUCUCAAGAAGCACCUCGUGUCGGCCGGAUAUGUCCACGUGAACAGGGUAUGACCAGUCUUUUGCCGCCCCAAAUCUAUUAAGUUCCCAUCUCCACCUCUCAACUAGUUUGGGGCGGCUUUCCUCCAUCACUGCCUCCCCGUCCCCGCUCGGGGUCUUCUCUCCCCCCGGGUCUGCUGAUCUGUUUGUGACCUCUCGUGUCCCCAGGACACGCUAGGCUCCUGGCAGCGCUGUGUGACCACCUGUGAGACAGCCCUGAAGCAAGGGAAACG